UACGUAGGGUGCAAGCGUUGUCCGGAAUUAUUGGGCGUAAAGAGCUCGUAGGUGGUCUGUCGCGUCUGCUGUGAAAACUCGGGGCUUAACCCCGGGCCUGCAGUGGGUACGGGCAGACUAGAGUGCGGUAGGGGAGACUGGAAUUCCUGGUGUAGCGGUGAAAUGCGCAGAUAUCAGGAGGAACACCGGUGGCGAAGGCGGGUCUCUGGGCCGUAACUGACGCUGAGGAGCGAAAGCAUGGGGAGCGAACAGG
rnacentral:rRNA from 1 species